rnacentral:ncRNA from 1 species
UGACCUCAAAUCAGGUAGGAUUACCCGCUGAACUUAAGCAUAUCAAUAAGCGGAGGAAAAGAAACUAACAAGGAUUCCCCUAGUAGCUGCGAGUGAAGCGGGAAAAGCUCAAAUUUAAAAUCUGGCGGUCCUUGCGGCCGUCCGAGUUGUAAUCUGGAGAAGCGCUAUCCGCGCCGGACCGUGUACAAGUCUCUUGGAAAAGAGCAUCAUAGAGGGUGAGAAUCCCGUCUUUGACACGGACUACCGGGGCUUUUGUGAUGUGCUUUCUACGAGUCGAGUUGUUGGGAAUGCAGCUCAAA